rnacentral:rRNA from 1 species
CCAAUAGCGUAUAUUAAAGUUGUUGCAGUUAAAAAGCUCGUAGUUGAAUUUCGGGAUCAGUACGCCGGUCGUGCCUUCGGUAUGCACUGGUGUCACUGGUUCCUCCCUUCUGACGAACCGUCAUGCCAUUCACUUGGUGUGGCGGGAAAUCAGGACUGUUACUUUGAAAAAAUUAGAGUGUUUAAAGCAGGCUCACGCUUGAAUACAUUAGCAUGGAAUAAUGAAAUAGGACGUUGAUCUUAUUUUGUUGGUUUCUAGGAUUGACGUAAUGAUUAAUAGGGAUAGUUGUGGGCAUUAGUAUUCAAUUGUCAGAGGUGAAAUUCUUGGAUUUAUUGAAGACUAACUACUGCGAAAGCAUUUGCCAAGGAUGUUUUCAUUAAUCAAGAACGAAAGUUAGGGGAUCGAAGACGAUCAGAUACCGUCGUAGUCUUAACCAUAAACUAUGCCGACUAGGGAUCGGAUGAUGUUAAUUUUUUAAUGACUCAUUCGGCGCCUUACG